GCUGCAUUCCUGUAACUUUUACUACGGAAGCGUCUCUCGAUUUUAACAAUUUUACUCAUCAUAUGGUAUGCGUGUCAAAGGAUUUAAAAUUAUCAUUACCAUUUAAAGAGGAUGGUUGGAUUAUAUUCAAUAUACAACAAAUUGAUAUAAUAUCGUAUUUGCAUCGAGAAGAAGAUUAUAUAGCAUGGUAUUCUAUGUUUAAAGCUCUGGAAUACAUAUUUAGCACUUUUUCUGUAGCUAUGCUGGAAGAUAAAUUGUGGAAUUUUAAGAAUUACAUAAACCAUGCAUUAAACGAGGUUCUUAAAAGAAUCAAAUAUGAAGAAAUUGAUGAUAGUGACGACCUUAGAAAAUGUUUACGACAAGAAGCUGCAAGAUGGGCAUGUUUUCUCGGCGACUCCGAAUGUAAGACAGAAGCCAACAAUAAAUUAGUACAACAUCUACAAAAUUCUACAAAGCACAAACUUUUGCCAUGGUGGAAGGAAUGGACAUAUUGUAAAGGUUUGAUGAUAACUACCAAAGAAGAUACCACUUGGAAAUUAGUGCAUGAUAUAGGAUUGGAUAAAUCUGACACUAAAUUUUCAGAAUACUUGGCUUGUCCUGAAGAUAUUGAUGUCAUCGAAAAGAAUUUAGUAUACUAUAACCAGUCUAAUCCAAUAUACUAUAACCAGUACAAUUUUACAGAGCAAUAUCAAUAUCAUUUUGACAUGUCUUUACAUGUUAUUACGAAGCAUGCGAAGAAUCAAACUAUACUGCAAUACAUAUUAAAUGAUUUUUGCCAAAUGAAAUCAAAAAAAUAAACAAUUACUUUGAAUGUAUGAAGGACAAUAUAGAAUUUUCUAUAAUGGAAGAAAAGGAUUCCAAAAUGUUGAUUUCUGACAAAAUUGAAAGCAAGAUAUCAAUUCGCAACGAUCAAAUCAAAAGACAGAUACAAUAUUCUGAAAAUAUUUUUUUUGUUGGGUGGAAUUAAAGAAUUGCAGCUUUGCAGACGUGAAUGUACUUCAUAUGAAUAAUUUUUUAUAUUGUAUGUACUAUUUCUUUUAUUGCUUUAAUUAUUGUUUACAUAGAUGCAUUACUAUUUGAUACCUCUGUAUUUACUAAACUUUAUGACUGCGUGCCUAAAGUUUUUCAUAUUUUGCAAACUUGCUUGA